AUCUAAAAAUAAUUACUCAAUCAAAUUGAGUUAAUUAGCAAUCAAAUCACUAAUUAAACCUCUCAUAAAUAUUGAGUCCAAAUCCGAUGAGUAAUCGGGCAUCAGAAUUCAUCGAUAUGUAGCCCUGAUCGAAGAGUCCCAAACUAAUGGGACUCUUGACCCCGGUACCCAAAAUGUGUGGGACUCAUGAUCAGAGAAUCUUGAUUCUCGAUCACAGAGUCUCAGACACGUAGGACUCAUAGUC
rnacentral:lncRNA from 1 species